GACGAACGCUGGCGGCGUGCUUAACACAUGCAAGUCGAACGGUGAAGCUCCAGCUUGCUGGAGUGGAUCAGUGGCGAACGGGUGAGUAACACGUGAGCAACCUGCCCCUGACUCUGGAAUAAGCGCUGGAAACGGCGUCUAAUACUGGAUACGAGAAGGGUCCGCAUGGGCACUUUCUGGAAAGUGUUUCGGUUGGGGAUGGGCUCGCGGCCUAUCAGCUUGUUGGUGAGGUAAUGGCUCACCAAGGCGACGACGGGUAGCCGGCCUGAGAGGGCGACCGGCGACAAUGGGACUGAGACACGGACCAGACUCCUACGGGAGGCAGCAGUGGGGAAUAUUGCACAAUGGGCGAAAGCCUGAUGCAGCGACGCCGCGUGAGGGAUGACGGCCUUCGGGUUGUAAACCUCUUUCAGCAGGGAAGAAGCGAAAGUGACGGUACCUGCAGAAGAAGCACCGGCUAACUACGUG
rnacentral:rRNA from 1 species